CCAAACUUGGUCAUUUAGAGGAAGUAAAAGUCGUAACAAGGUUUCCGUAGGUGAACCUGCGGAAGGAUCAUUACCGAGUUCGGGUCUCCUAUGGCCCAUCUCUCCAACCCUUUGUCUACCUGACCUCUGUUGCUUCGGCGGACCCGUCUCCCACGAGACCGCCGGAGGGUGGAAGCCCUCUGGCCCGCGUCCGUCGAUGGCCCUUAUUAAAACUCUUAAACAAAAUGUGUUAAGUCUGAACAAACAUUUAAUUAAAAAUUAAAAACUUUCAACAACGGAUCUCUUGGUUCUGGCAUCGAUGAAGAACGCAGC
rnacentral:misc_RNA from 1 species